rnacentral:sRNA from 1 species
GUAUAUCCUUCAUUAUGAUAUUGAUGGACCAAUGAACUGCACUUCAGAUAUGGAGAUCAACCCUUUGAGAAUUAAGAUCUCAUCUUUGCAAACAACUGAAAAGAAUGACACGGUUGCUGGGCAAGGUGAGCGGGACCAUCUCAUCACUAAGCGGGAUCUUGCCCUCAGUGAAGGAGAUAUUCACACUUUGGUAAGUGCCAUUUCAAAUAUGUGCACCAUAGACAUUUAAAAAUAUGUGACUAUAGAACUGACGCCAAAGAACAUUUCAAAAAUAACAACAGCUGUGCUUGAACAACUACAUUUAUUUUUAUACCAUGCAUUCCUCUUACUUUC